rnacentral:lncRNA from 1 species
CAGCUAGAUGCCAUUAGGACUCAGCUUAAAUCCAGUCCCUCUGUAUCCACUAAGCCUACCCUUGUUCAGCCUAUUGCGUUCCAUCCCCCGACCUCUUCUACUCAGACCAGACUAUCCAAUCGAGGCCGAGGCUGAUUCUAUUUCAGAGUCAUUCCCUCAGUUUGUUCUGAUCUUGAGCUCAAUGCCUAUUCUCCCUGACCUGAUCAUUUUGUAUUAGCUGUUUUAGAUCUCAUACUAUUUAGUUGUUGUAUUUUGUUUUAGUUGUUGUAUUUUGUAUGAGAACCUUAUGAUCAUAGAUAUGUAUUGUGACUUGAUCAUUGUAAUAUAUGGAUGUACUUGACUUUUGUAACCACUUAUUUUGUAUGAGGUUAUCCAUUAUCAUCUUUUGUAUG